GGGAUCACACAAGCGGUGGAGCAUGUUGUUUAAUUCGAAGCAACGCGAAGAACCUUACCAGGCCUUGACAUGUACGGAUUAGCUCCCUGAAAGGGGAGUGACAGCUCUUCGGAGUCGGAACGUACACAGGUGUUGCAUGGCUGUCGUCAGCUCGUGCCGUGAGGUGUUGGGUUAAGUCCCGUAACGAGCGAAACCCUUAUCGUUAGUUGCCAGCGGGUAAUGCCGGGGACUCUAGCGAGACUGCCGUUGUCAAAACGGAGGAAGGUGGGGACGACGUCAAGUCAUCAUGGCCCUUAUGGCCUGGGCUACAAACGUGCUACAAUGGUCCGUACAAUGGGUACCCAAGUCGCGAGACGGAGGC
rnacentral:rRNA from 1 species